rnacentral:rRNA from 1 species
CCUACGGGUGGCAGCAGUCGAGAAUCAUUCACCAUGGGGGAAACCCUGAUGGUGCGACGCCGCGUGGGAGACUGAAGGUCUUCGGAUUGUACACCCCUGUCAUGUGGGAGCAAAUUAAAAAGAUAGUACCACAAGAGGAAGCGACGGCUAACUCUGUGCCAGCAGCCGCGGUAAUCCAGAGGUCUCAAGCGUUGUUCGGAAUCACUGGGCGUAAAGCGGGCGUAGGCUGUUUCGUAAGUCGUGUGUGAAAGGCGCGGGCUCAACCCGCGGACGGCACAUGAUACUGCGAGACUAGAGUAAUGGAGGGGGAACCGGAAUUCGCGGUGUAGCAGUGAAAUGCGUAGAUAUCGAGAGGAACACUCGUGGCGAAGGCGGGUUCCUGGACAUUAACUGACGCUGAGGCACGAAGGCCAGGGGAGCGAAAGGGAUUAGAUACCCGAGUAGUC